AGUGAACGCUGGCGGUAGGCCUAACACAUGCAAGUCGAACGGCAGCACAGUAAGAGCUUGCUCUUACGGGUGGCGAGUGGCGGACGGGUGAGGAAUACAUCGGAAUCUACUUUUUCGUGGGGGAUAACGUAGGGAAACUUACGCUAAUACCGCAUACGACCUACGGGUGAAAGCAGGGGAUCUUCGGACCUUGCGCGAUUGAAUGAGCCGAUGUCGGAUUAGCUAGUUGGCGGGGUAAAGGCCCACCAAGGCGACGAUCCGUAGCUGGUCUGAGAGGAUGAUCAGCCACACUGGAACUGAGACACGGUCCAGACUCCUACGGGAGGCAGCAGUGGGGAAUAUUGGACAAUGGGCGCAAGCCUGAUCCAGCCAUACCGCGUGGGUGAAGAAGGCCUUCGGGUUGUAAAGCCCUUUUGUUGGGAAAGAAAAGCAGCAGGUUAAUACCCCGCUGUCCUGACGGUACCCAAAGAAUAAGCACCGGCUAACUU
rnacentral:rRNA from 1 species